rnacentral:rRNA from 1 species
AACGAACGCUGGCGGCAUGCCUAACACAUGCAAGUCGAACGCUUCUCUUCGGAGAGGAGCGGCGCACGGGUGAGUAACGCGUGGGAACCUGCCCCGGAGUGGGGGAUAACCCGGCGAAAGCCGGGCUAAUACCGCAUACGGCCUAUGGGCGAAAGAUUUAUCGCUCUGGGAGGGGCCCGCGUCCGAUUAGCUAGUUGGCGGGGUAACGGCCCACCAAGGCGACGAUCGGUAGCUGGUCUGAGAGGAUGAUCAGCCACACUGGGACUGAGACACGGCCCAGACUCCUACGGGAGGCAGCAGUGGGGAAUAUUGGACAAUGGGGGCAACCCUGAUCCAGCAAUGCCGCGUGAGUGAUGAAGGCCUUAGGGUUGUAAAGCUCUUUCGCACGCGACGAUGAUGACGGUAGCGUGAGAAGAAGCCCCGGCUAACUUCGUGCCAGCCGCCGCCGUAA